rnacentral:rRNA from 1 species
UAUCUGUCGCGGGCGCAGGAAAUUUGAGAGGAGCUGUCCUUAGUACGAGAGGACCGGGAUGGACGUACCGCUGGUGUACCAGUUGUUCCGCCAGGAGCACCGCUGGGUAGCCAAGUACGGACGGGAUAAGCGCUGAAAGCAUCUAAGCGCGAAGCCCCCCUCAAGAUGAGAUUUCCCAAUUUAGUAAGACCCCUUGAAGACGACGAGGUUGAUAGGUUCGGGGUGGAAGCGCAGCAAUGCGUGCAGCUGACGAAUACUAAUCGGUCGAGGGCUUAUCCUA